rnacentral:rRNA from 1 species
GAUGAACGCUGGCGGCGUGCCUAAUACAUGCAAGUCGAGCGAACGGACGAGAAGCUUGCUUUUCUGAUGUUAGCGGCGGGCGGGUGAGUAACACGUGGAUAACCUACCUAUAAGACUGGGAUAACUUCGGGAGACCGGAGCUAAUACCGGAUAAUAUUUUGAACCGCAUGGUUCAAAAGUGAAAGACGGUCUUGCUGUCACUUAUAGAUGGAUCCGCGCUGCAUUAGCUAGUUGGUAAGGUAACGGCUUACCAAGGCAACGAUGCAUAGCCGACCUGAGAGGGUGAUCGGCCACACUGGAACUGAGACACGGUCCAGACUCCUACGGGAGGCAGCAGUAGGGAAUCUUCCGCAAUGGGCGAAAGCCUGACGGAGCAACGCCGCGUGAGUGAUGAAGGUCUUCGGAUCGUAAAACUCUGUUAUUAGGGAAGAACAUAUGUGUAAGUAACUGUGCACAUCUUGACGGUACCUAAUCAGAAAGCCACGGCUAACUACGUG